UUUACGGAGAGUUUGAUCCUGGCUCAGGAUGAACGCUGGCGGCGUGCUUAACACAUGCAAGUCGAACGAUGAAGCCCAGCUUGCUGGGUGGAUUAGUGGCGAACGGGUGAGUAACACGUGAGUAACCUGCCCUUAACUCUGGGAUAAGCCUGGGAAACUGGGUCUAAUACCGGAUAGGAGCGUCCACCGCAUGGUGGGUGUUGGAAAGAUUUAUCGGUUUUGGAUGGACUCGCGGCCUAUCAGCUUGUUGGUGAGGUAAUGGCUCACCAAGGCGACGACGGGUAGCCGGCCUGAGAGGAUGACCAGCCACACUGGAACUGAGACACGGUCCAGACUCCUACGGGAGGCAGCAGUGGGGAAUAUUGCACAAUGGGCGCAAGCCUGAUGCAGCCAUGCCGCGUGUA
rnacentral:rRNA from 1 species